rnacentral:rRNA from 1 species
CCUACGGGAGGCAGCAGUGAGGAAUAUUGGUCAAUGGGCGCGAGCCGGAACCAGCCAAGUCGCGUGAGGGAAGACGGUCCUACGGAGUGUAAACCUCUUUUGCCGGGGAGCAAGCGUGGGUACGUGAACGCGCGUCGAGAGUACCCGGAGAAAAAGCAGCGGCGAACUCCGUGCCAGCAGCCGCGGUAAUACGGAGGAUGCGAGCGUGAUCCGGAUUUAUUGGGUGUAAAGGGUGCGUCGGCGGGAUGCCAAGUCAGCGGUAAAAAUGCGGGGCUCAACGCCGUCGCGCCGUUGAAACUGGCGUUCUUGCGUGUGCGCGAAGUAUGCGGAAUGCGUGUUGUAGCGG